ACCUUGGCCUCCCAAAUUGCUGGGAUUGCAGGUGUGAGCCACUGUGCCUGGCCGGAUGUAGGAGUUUUCUGAUAAAGCUGAAGGUUCACCAGAUGAGAGAUAACUUUUGGUUUCAGCAGUCUUGAAGAUCUUUUUAAAAUUUAUUGAUACUUUUUAAAACCUCAGUGCAUAAAGUAUAGUGAACAUAUUUAAUUUGUCAGUGACGUGAAAUGUUACAAUAUCCCAGGAUAUUCAUUUUCAUUAUUUCUCUAAUGUAUAAGCAGAUGUACUUGUUGGAUGUGAUAUAAUAGGAAGGCUAGCUAAUUUUCUCAUCUAAAGGUAUUAUGUGUAAGGAAUAAAUAUAUUUCAUUUAUUAAGAAUUCAAGAUGCUUGGUUAAGUUUAUUACUUUUUUUACUUUUUAGAGGUGAGGUUUCUUUAUGUGACCCAGGCAGGUCUUAAACUCCUGGCCUCAGGUGAUCCGCACAGUUUGGCCUCCAAAGUACUGGGAUAACAGGCAUGAGCCACUGGUGCCUGGCCUUAUUGUCUGACUUGAUUUUGUUAUAGUAUUUAAGAAUUUCAACAGGGAGUUGAAAUAAGUGGAUUUUAGGUUAACUUACUAGUUUCUAGACAAAUGAUUCAUACUACAUAUAGUCAAGCCCUGUGACCUUAAAACUUUUCUAUAUUUAAAAGACUGAUUCAGCUUACUGUUGCAGAUUGGGAAAAGU